AGUGAGCGCUGGCGGUAGGCCUAACACAUGCAAGUCGAACGGCAGCACAGUAAGAGCUUGCUCUUACGGGUGGCGAGUGGCGGACGGGUGAGGAAUACAUCGGAAUCUACUUUUUCGUGGGGGAUAACGUAGGGAAACUUACGCUAAUACCGCAUACGACCUACGGGUGAAAGCAGGGGAUCUUCGGACCUUGCGCGAUUGAAUGAGCCGAUGUCGGAUUAGCUAGUUGGCGGGGUAAAGGCCCACCAAGGCGACGAUCCGUAGCUGGUCUGAGAGGAUGAUCAGCCACACUGGAACUGAGACACGGUCCAGACUCCUACAGGAGGCAGCAGUGGGGAAUAUUGGACAAUGGGCGCAAGCCUGAUCCAGCCAUACCGCGUGGGUGAAGAAGGCCUUCGGGUUGUAAAGCCCUUUUGUUGGGAAAGAAAAGCAGCAGGUUAAUACCCCGCUGUUCUGACGGUACCCAAAGAAUAAGCACCGGCUAACUUCGUG
rnacentral:rRNA from 1 species